CCUCUCUGCUGCUGACUUCAAGUACAACUCUGAGUCAUGCCACACGCAGAAGUUUUCUGAUUAUACUGCAACAGUGGGGUGUAUUAGGGAUAGACAGGAGGAUGAGUACAGGAGCCUGGUGGAGGACUUUGGGAAAUGGUGCAGAACAAACCACCUGCAGCUGAAUGUCACCAAGACCAAAGAGAUGGUUGUGGACUUUAGGAGGUCCACCCCGCCUCUGCUACCAGUCACCACUGCAGGGAUUAAUGUGGUAGGUAGUCAGGACCUAAAAAUAUCUGGGGCUGUAUCGGGACAAUAAACUGGACUGGUCAGCAAACACAGAGCACUCUACAGGAAGGGCCAGAGCUGGCUCUAUUUCCUCGGGAGGCUAUAGGGUCCUUUAACAUCUGUAGAAAACUCCUGAUGUUUUACCAGUCUGUCAUGGCCAGUGUCCUAUGCUGUGGUGUGCUGGGGAGGCACAACUAGGAAGAGUGCAGGGCGACUGGUCAGGCUAGUGAGGAAGGCUGGCUCUGUUGUUUGCUUUGAGCUGGAGUCCCUGACAUCAGUGGCAGAAAAGGGGACCCUGAACAAGCUGCUGUCAAUAAUGGACUGUGACUAACACCCCCUUCACAGCACUUUAACUGGACAGAGGAGUAUGUUCAGUGGCAGACGUCUGUCACUGUCAUGCUCAAUGGACAGUGUUUGCAGUCGGAGCGAGAAAUGUCUGGUACAAACAUAGUGGAGACGGAGAGGUGACCAAGAAACAUCCGGAGAGGAGAAAGGACCCGCGGACAUCGGUGUGGUUUUCAAACGGCGGAGGGACAGACGGAGAACACUGGUGGAGGGACAGACGGAGAACACCGGCGGAGGGAUAUACGGAACCCGGCGGAGGACUGGAGAGUGAAGGCGGACGCUGAUCUGCCGAACAAACAUCCCAGAUACAAACAUGAUGUCAGCUCCAGAAACCUCCCAGCCUCUCAUCCUGUAGCCCUGCUCUGCACUCUCCUGGAUUCUUCUCUAGACCUGCCCGGCUCCAGCUCUGCUCCUACCAGUAUUUCCCCGGCCCCAACUCAUCUUCAGCCAUUUUCUCAGUUCAAUAUCCUAUCUCUAUUCCCCUUAAUAAAUGUCUUUU